CCUACGUGGGGCAGCAGUGAGGAAUAUUGGUCAAUGGACGCAAGUCUGAACCAGCCAUGCCGCGUGCAGGAAGACGGCUCGAUGAGUUGUAAACUGCGUGUGUACGAGGGGAAACGCAGAUACGCGGAUCUGUCUGAAAGUAUCGUACGAAUAAGGAUCGGCUAACUCCGUGCCAGCAGCCGCGGUAAUCCGGAGGAUUCAAGCGUUAUCCGGCUUUAUUGGGGUGAAAGGGUGCGUAGGCGGUCGGAUAAGUUAGAGGUGAAAUCCCGAGGCUCAACUUCGGAAUUGCCUCUGAUACGGUUCGGCUAGAGAGUAGUUGCGGUAGGCGGAAUGU
rnacentral:rRNA from 1 species